rnacentral:rRNA from 1 species
GAUGAACGCUGGCGGCGUGCCUAAUACAUGCAAGUCGAGCGGACGGACGAGAAUCUUGCUUCUUUGAUGUUAGCGGCGGACGGGUGAGUAACACGUGUAUAACCUCCCUAUAAUACUGGGAUAACUUCGGGACACCGGAGCUAAUACCGGAUAAUAUUUUGAACCGCAUGGUUCAAUAGUGAAAGACGGUCUUGCUGUCACUUCUAGAUGGUUCCGCGCUGCAUUAGCUAGUUGGUAAGGUCACGGCCUACCAAGGCAACGAUGCAUAGCCGACCUGACAGGGUGAUCGGCGACACGGGAACGGAGACAGGGUCCAGACUCCUACGGGAGGCAGCAGUAGGGAAUCUUACGCAAUGGGCGGAAGCCUGACGGAGCAGGGCCGCGUGAGUGAUGAAGGUCUUCGGAUCGUGAAAAUCUGUUAUUAGGGAAGAACAUAUGUGUAAGUAACUGUGGACAGCUUGACGGUAACUAAUCAGAAAGCCACGGCUAACUACGUG